rnacentral:rRNA from 1 species
CGGCGCGCACCCCCACGUCGCGUGGUGCGCUCGCUUUUUUGGUGGCGUGGUGCGAGCAGCGCACUAUUUUCCACUCGCCCGUCGUCUGGAUCGGGUGGGGCGCUGGGAGCAAGGAGUACGCGGCGGCGGCGGCGGGGGGCGGGCGCUACUUCUUUCACUCUCCUUUCUCCUCUCCCUCCACUCCGUCGUCUGUCCUCUCCCAGUGGCCGACGACAGCCGGACGCGGCCGCUCCAGCCCGCACUGGACCGCCAACCACCGCCGAGCUAGGCGAGGACCUAGCCCUCUCCUCCUUCCCUCCACCCCCCGGCCGGCAGAGACACGGAGGAGCUGCGGCUCGACGCCGACGAGGCACACACGCGCGAGAGAGAGAGAGAGUCGCCAAGGAGGAGGGGACGGAGGAGUGCAGCGGGAGUUCAGGCUCCGUUGCUCAAACGAAGGAGACGAGGCAAGUACAGUAACUCGAAAAAGGAACCCGUAUCGUGGUGUAAACGCCGUCGUGUGGCCUCAGUUAAACCAACUGAUCGUUAUCUCGUUUCUCAUUUUAGUCCAGAAGUGGAUACCUCCUCCAUCUAUGACUGCCUCACGUAUACUGGUCCACAGGAGGUCCAAGACGUAGUAGUCACACAUGGAGAUCUAAGACGUAGUAAUCACUCGUUGAAUGGAUUCGUUGGCUCGGGUUAGUUGUUAACCAUCUUCAUCAAUACUCUACUCCGUCUCCUCUCGUCUCUCCUGGCCUCUUCCUCAACGCCUGGAGCGGUUGUUCCGGCACUGGGAUGUAGUGAUUUUUUUACGCGGCAUAAACAAAGAGUACGAAAUGGUACCGUACAAGAAUAAUCAAGUCCAACUAGAGAGGCCAAGAAAAGCGGUUACCGAACUACAUGCGUGACCGUUGGAGAAUGACCUUCCUAAGCCGUACGGAGACAAGCUCUCUACCCUAUACUUCUUUACCGCAAGACCAUACAAUAUAGUAAACUUCGUUACUGUGAAAUAAAACCAAGUAUAAAGAAAUGUCCAACAACAUACGUCUCAAAUACUCCAACGUGACGUGGUAGUUUGAUACGAGGUACAAUUCGUUGUAGGUCUUGACGGUAAUAUAUAAAUUACAUCAUCCAACUACGUUGAAACAUUGGUCAGUACCUAAAUUUUAUCCGAAAGAUGGAGAAAUAAAACCAGCCGUACAAAACCGUGCACAAAAACAGUAACUAGACGAUAUAUAAUUAAUGUAAACUCAUCUGACAACUGACUCUUUCGCACUUCUACAACACAAAACUAAAUACUCCUGAUUAUCUAUCAAAAGGGAGCCCAAAUAAAUAAAAGAGAGGUGUGAAAAUUAAGAUGUAUUUUCAUGUAAGAUAACAAUAAACAAAUGAUUACGUUAUAUACAUGGGAAUAAACAGAGUUGAAAUAGUUAAAAUCAAACACAAAAGACACCGCGUCUUGUGUCAAUUUCCGUCACGACACAGUUUCUACGCACGGUUUAUUAAUAAUUAAUUCGACUAACUUUAUAGUUUGAAACCCACGUCAGAAGAACCAGGACAUAUAUACUGACCGACUAUGUUUUAGACCUGUCAAGACAGUACUGAAAAUAGAAGUGUAGAAGGAAAGUACUUAAAUGAUUGCGAAAAAAAAUGAACUAGAAUACACGUCGAUGCAAAUAAGUCCAAUAUCCCGGAGAUAUCCUUUGUGUUAUUAGACUUAAGGAUUCAUUUAUAUUGUCGAGGUCACACAAAAAGAACGAAUUUAAACGGUAGGACUUAAGGAUUCAUAAAUAUUGUUGAGUUCACAUAGGUAUAUACUGUAAUCUAAAAGAAGAAUGAACCUAGAAAACGGUACAUUUCAUCCAACAGAAGUACAGCGACAACACGAUGACGAUCCGUACUUGUCUUACCGGAGGAGAAUAACGCUUGGUGUGACUACAACCGAAGACUAAAGACGACAUUACCUAAUAAAUGAUACCUGUUUAUACCGUUAUAAGUAAACCUCGUGGCAAAGAACUCCUAUACAGAGAAGAUGUCCAUACUGUAAUAGUAACCUUGCAUAUGAUACAGAUAAACUAUAUAGAUACUGAUAUAGGAAGGUUUCUUAUAAAUAAAAACAUAAUAUAUGAAAAAAAAGCUUUUCCCCCUCUAGGGGCCGGAGACGUAGUCUUGCUACGUAUGUACUAUAGCCAUGAAAAAUAUUGACUAGGUACAAGAACCUUAUGAAAUAAAAUAAAGUAAUUAUUCGUUCCCACCUACCACCGAACGUCACACGAACAUGAUUUUUUCCACAAGACGGUAGGGUACCUAAGAUCGUGUCGAACUUCGCCGGUUCAGUUCCUCCUGGAUAUUUUAAUAAACUAGCAGAGAGCGAGAGAGAGAGAGAGAGAGAGAUAUAUAUAUAUAUAUAUAUAUAUAUAUAUACAACAGACCACGUACAUACCGACUCUUAUCCCUCUCUCUCGUUCAAAUUAAAAGGAACCCGUAAGUUUAAGAAUAAAACGAAAAGAGUCUAAAAACCGACCCACAAAUUUGUAUGAACGUGUGUGACCAAAGUCUAAAGUCACAUUUGAUGUUUAUCCCCUUUUUAUAUCACUAAAAAGGUUUAAUCUUUAUCCCUCUUCCCUUUGAUAACUAAUAACACACGUACAUAUUGAUUAACCUAAUGACCAACUUGCUCACGUCUGAACUCUUUCUUCUCUAUCCCGGUUAUUUUAAUCCACCCUCCAUACGACUACCCAAGUAAAAUCGUAAUGAUUAGCUGGCGAACCGUAGGACUUCGACUUUCUAAUCGCUCUGACUGAUUUAAGAUUUGUACAAGGUACACUCUCUUUAUCGUACAACUAAAGUAGAACUUUAUUAGUAUCAACUCCCUACUCCAAGCAUUGGCUCCCAGUACACGUCUCGACCUCCUUCUUCAACGCUCCGAACUUUGAGACACUUCCCGAGUCCCUGUCGUCACUCCUGUUACGGAGAAAUCAACAUUAACACUAUGAGAACUACACGUUAAUUUGUGAGGACACUAUGAGGAAUACGAUUUUACAACCAACAAUCAUGUCUCCACCACUGUAAUAAACCAAGAGACCAUAACUAAAGUACUAAACACCAAUUAUGUACUACAUUAUGUUAGGUGUAACAUAAUAUAAAGGUCAAUGUAGAAAAUGAAUGAGUGAUGAUUGUAAGAAAGAUUAAACGAAGAACGCGGUAACCGCGUUGGCCCAGUAGAUCA